rnacentral:rRNA from 1 species
UGGGGAAUAUUGCACAAUGGGCGAAAGCCUGAUGCAGCAACGCCGCGUGAGUGAUGAAGGCCUCCGGGUUGUAAAGCUCUGUCUUUUGGGACGAUAAUGACGGUACCAAAGGAGGAAGCCACGGCUAACUACGUGCCAGCAGCCGCGGUAAUACGUAGGUGGCAAGCGUUGUCCGGAUUUACUGGGCGUAAAGGAUGCGUAGGCGGAUUUUUAAGUGAGAUGUGAAAUACCCGGGCUUAACUUGGGUGCUGCAUUUCAAACUGGGAAUCUAGAGUGCGGGAGAGGAGAAUGGAAUUCCUAGUGUAGCGGUGAAAGUGCGUAGAGAUUAGGAAGAACACCAGUGGCGAAGGCGAUUCUCUGGACCGUAACUGACGCUGAGGCAUGAAAGCGUGGGUAGCAAACAGGAUUAGAUACCCUGGUAGUCCACGCCGUAAACGAUGAGUACUAGGUGUAGGAGGUAUCGACCCCUUCUGUGCCGCAGUUAACACAAUCAAGUACUCCGCCUGGGAAGUACGAUCGCAAGAUUAAAACUCAAAGGAAUUGACGGGGGUC